UGGGGAAUCUUGCGCAAUGGGCGAAAGCCUGACGCAGCAACGCCGCGUGAGCGAAGAAGGCCUUCGGGUUGUAAAGCUCUGUCAGGAGGGACGAAGCCACUCGGGUGAACAGCCCAGAGGGUGACGGUACCUCCAGAGGAAGCCCCGGCUAACUACGUGCCAGCAGCCGCGGUAAUACGUAGGGGGCGAGCGUUGUCCGGAAUCAUUGGGCGUAAAGCGCGGGUAGGCGGCUGGGCAAGUCGGGUGUGAAAGCGCGAGGCUCAACC
rnacentral:rRNA from 1 species